GAUUUCUCUUUAACAAUCAAUAUAAUUUAAAAUCUAUUUAUUAAUUAAAUAUAAAUAUAAAUAUUUGGCUGGUAGUGCAACUGGUUUAAUGGAGUAACGUUAGUCCUGAAGAAUCACGGUGACGUAUAUUAUUGUUACUGAUAUACUACCCAACAAAACAUCCAAAAAUAACAAUUGUAAGGUU